rnacentral:rRNA from 1 species
CUUUAUAGCCAUACCACCCUAAAUGUACCCAGUAUGAGAUCUCUGAAGCUAAGCAGUGUUGGGCCUGAUUAGUACUUGGAUGAGAGACAGCUUUAUUGCUGAAGC